rnacentral:rRNA from 1 species
CGGCGGGAAGAGUAAGUGGCGCACGGGUGAGUACGCGUGGGUACCUGCCCCCGAAUNCGGGAUAGCUGCGCGAAAGCGGCGCUAAUACCGGAUAUCGUCCCAGGGGCUUUGGUCUCUGGGAUGACAGAUGACCUCUCCAUGGAAGUUGUCGUUCGGGGAGGGGCUCGCGUACCAUUAGCUUGUUGGUGGGGUAAUGGCCUACCAAGGCGACGAUGGUUAGCUGGUCUGAGAGGAUGAUCAGCCACACUGGCACUGAGAGCACGGGCCAGACUCCUACGGGAGGCAGCAGUGAGGAAUUUUGCGCAAUGGGGGAAACCCUGACGCAGCAACGCCGCGUGAGUGAAGAACGCCUUCGGGUCGUAAAGCUCUGUCAAGUGGGAAAAACGUCAGACGAUGAACAGUCGUCAGGCUUGAUGGUACCACUGGAGGAAGCACCGGCUAACUCCGUGCCAGCAGCCGCGGUAAUACGGAGGGUGCAAGCGUUGUUCGGAAUUACUGGGCGUAAAGAGCGUGUAGGCGGCAAGGUAAGUCAGGCGUGAAAGCCCUGGGCUUAACCCAGGAAGUGCGUUUGAAACUGCCUCGCUAGAGUAUGGGAGAGGAGAGUGGAAUUCCCGGUGUAGAGGUGAA